rnacentral:rRNA from 1 species
AUUGAACGCUGGCGGCAUGCCUAACACAUGCAAGUCGAACGGCAGCACAGCCCGCAAGGGUGGGUGGCGAGUGGCGGACGGGUGAGGAAUACAUCGGGAUCUACCCCGUUGUGGGGGAUAACCCAUCGAAAGGUGGGCUAAUACCGCAUGAGACGGAGACGUGAAAGCGGAGGACCGCAAGGCUUCGAGCGAUUGGAUGAACCGAUGUCCGAUUAGCUAGUUGGUAGGGUAAAGGCCUACCAAGGCGACGAUCGGUAGCUGGUCUGAGAGGACGAUCAGCCACACUGGGACUGAGACACGGCCCAGACUCCUACGGGAGGCAGCAGUGGGGAAUAUUGGACAAUGGGGGCAACCCUGAUCCAUCAAUGCCGCGUGUGUGAAGAAGGCCUUCGGGUUGUAAAGCACUUUUGUCCGGAACGAAAAGCGCAUGGCUAAUAUCCGUGCGUGCUGACGGUACCGGGUGAAUAAGCACCGGCUAACUUCGUGCCAGCAGCCGCGGUAACAC